rnacentral:rRNA from 1 species
CCUACGGGUGACAGCAGUGAGGAAUAUUGGUCAAUGGCCGGAAGGCUGAACCAGCCAAGCCGCGUGAAGGACGAAGGUGCCAAGCAUUGUAAACUUCUUUUGUCAAGGGACAAAAUCAGGCUCGAGAGCCUGACCGAGGGUACUUGAAAAAAAAGCAUCGGCUAACUCCGUGCCAGCAGCCGCGGUAAUACGGAGGAUGCGAGCGUUAUCCGGAUUUAUUGGGUUUAAAGGGUGCGUAGGCGGGCUGUUAAGUCAGCGGUAAAAGCCCGGGGCUCAACCCCGGCUAGCCGUUGAAACUGGCUGUCUUGAGAUGUCGAGAGGUAUGCGGAAUGCGCAGUGUAGCGGUGAAAUGCUUAGAUAUUGCGCAGAACUCCGAGUGCGAAGGCAGCAUACUGGCGGCGAUCUGACGCUGAGGCACGAAAGCGUGGGUAUCGAACAGGAUUAGAUACCCUUGUAGUC